GAUGAACGCUGGCGGCGUGCCUAAUACAUGCAAGUCGAGCGAACAGACGAGGAGCUUGCUCCUCUGACGUUAGCGGCGGACGGGUGAGUAACACGUGGAUAACCUACCUAUAAGACUGGGAUAACUUCGGGAAACCGGAGCUAAUACCGUAUAAUAUACUGAACCGCAUGGUUCAAUAGUGAAAGACGGUUUUACUGUCACUUAUAGAUGGAUCCCCGCCGCAUUAGCUAGUUGUUAAGGUAACGGCUUACCAAGGCAACGAUGCGUAGCCGACCUGAGAGGGUGAUCGGCCACACUGGAACUGAGACACGGUCCAGACUCCUACGGGAGGCAGCAGUAGGGAAUCUUCCGCAAUGGGCGAAAGCCUGACGGAGCAACGCCGCGUGAGUGAUGAAGGUCUUCGGAUCGUAAAACUCUGUUAUUAGGGAAGAACAAAUGUGUAAGUAACUAUGCACGUCUUGACGGUACCUAAUCAGAAAGCCACGGCUAACUACGUG
rnacentral:rRNA from 1 species